rnacentral:SRP_RNA from 1 species
GGCCGGGUCCCGUGCAACGAUUGCUCGUGAACCGGGUCAGGGCCGGAAGGCAGCAGCCCUCAGCGAAACCAAUCGUGUGCCGCGGGUAGCCUGGUCGCC